CUGCUGGGACAGCGCUCGGCCGCGGAGCGGGCUCGGCACUCACCGCCUGCUGGGAGCACAAAGGCUCAGGGUUACCACUUAAACAGCGGCAUUUUCUCUCCAUCGUUCCUACACACACGGGGAUUUGCAGAGCUGUUGCUGAACAAUAGGUCUCAGGAUAUAAAAGACGUGCUCGGAAGUUACCCCUUUUUAAGCACGUUAAGGAAAGAGACUUGGAUUUUUUUGCAUUUGCUUCCCUUUUUCUCUGCUUCCAGGUAAGAUAUGAUAAGUCUCAAGUGAGUAUAUUACCAAUUGUAUCACAUCAUCUUUCACUAACUUAAAAUGCCCUGUAUAUAUCAUGUGUCACUGCAGAUGAGAAUUCAAAUUUGAAUCAUGGUAAUUGUCCUCUACAGAAAUCUACUUUCCUGAUAAAAUUAAUAUGACAAUUUGUGUUCUGUGUCUAUUUUUUUGUUUGUUUGUUUUAUUUUAAGGAAAACCUCAUGCUAUAUUCAUUCAAAGCUUUCUGAGGCUUUGUUUUUCCCUAGAAGAUGUCCUAGAUUUUAUUCUUUAAUGUUGUCCCUGAUUUAUUGAAUGUCCAUGUUUCCCUGGAUAGUACCAUCUUUUGAGUUAUACAUCAUCGGAGUGACUCAUUCCGAUGAUGUAUUGCAUUAAUACAUCAUCAAAGCGCCUUGCUCUGCUGUUGCACUAAUGAUAUGUUAGUAUAAUACAUCAUCAGAGUGAACUGCACUGAUGAUGUAUUACUCAGAUGGUGAUGGCAUUCUGUGAAGAAAAGGUUGAGGAGCAGGUUCAAUACAGUCACAGGAGAAAAAUUAGUCAAUACAGAGUAUAACUGUUUCUCCAGUAGUGAUGCUGAUGCUAAAUUAGCACCAUAGCCCCUGAUCUGUACCCUUGCAGAAACACUGAG